rnacentral:lncRNA from 1 species
CUAACAAAGAUGAUGCAUUCAAGACCCAUCCGAUGAAUCUCUUGAAUGAGAGGACUCUCAAGGGCACUUUCUUUGGCAACUUCAAGCCAAGGACCGACCUUCCCUCUGUUGUAGAGAAGUACAUGAAUAAGGUAUAACCCCAACUCGUGAUGCUUCUUCACGGCACAUGCACAUACCCUGUCAUCCAUGCAUAAAUUGCCAUCUUACCCGGUUCCAAAGCUUUGCAUACAAUUUACGCAUUUGUUCUCUUUUUCUCUUACUCGUCUGCAUCAUGUACGGAGUUUUUGACUGAAGUGAUGUUCGUAUUCGAACAGGAACUUGAGCUGGAGAAGUUCAUUACACACGAGGUUCCUUUCUCGGAGAUCAACAAGGCCUUCGACUACAUGCUUCAAGGCGCCGGCCUUCGCUGCCUAAUCCGCAUGGGCGAGUAGAAUCACUGAGGGUACGGAGCAUGGUCGCUUCGCUUCGGGGAGAGAGGCCAAAACUUUUCUUGCAUUUGAGGUUUAUUGCUGCAUCGUUUUUAUCUGCCCGUGUCUUGAGGCAGAAGAGUGAUUUCAUAAAUGACUUUUUGCUGCUGUAAAUGGUUUAUUAGUAACUAAUGAGUGGAUUAUUUCGUGUUCUAUCGUCAGAAAGAUAUGGAGAUUCUUAUGGUUCUUUGUUACGGCAUAUUGUCUGACAAUUGAGUGCUCAUCUUUGGAACAGGAAUUUUCGUUCCUGCUUAUCUCUAGAAUCAUGAAAUGAACUAAUAUGUGAAGACUUCAACAAGAGGGAAAACAAUGAGCUCGGUUCUGAGCCGGAUCGGUUCGAAACGAUCUGAGCCCGUCGAUGCCUGUAGAGGCGAUGGUUUCUAACAGGGCGACGCGAUAACAUGAUUCGAACAAGACGAUAAUUUACUUUGAAUUCGUGUUCCUCCCAAUAUAAUAUUCUAGUAUGGAAUCUGCUUCUACGCCACUGGAGAAAUUGAUUUUCUUCCUGUCAACUUGGCAACAAGUCGAUGAUAUGUGCUUGUCUGAUCUCUCUGCUGGGCAUGACUGUCUGGACUCCAAAUCUUAAAAUUUGUCCGUGACGGACGGGCAAUUUAGUUUUAAAAUUUUUAAAAAGUGUAAUUGAUUUUAAAUUUUUUAAAAUAUAUAUAAUUAAAUUUUAAAAUUUGUCAAAAUAUAAUUAAUUUCUAAAAUUUUAAAAAAUAUAAUUUGUACAAUUAAUUCCUAAAAUUUGUCAAAUUUGUACAAUUAAUUCCUAAAAUUUUGUAUUAUUCAUAAGUUGGACGGAAUCAAUUGAAUUAAUUUGAAAAUUCAAUUGCACAUUUACAAAUUCAAUCGACUGAUCUUUCGUAAGCAUGAACAACAUUGGAUUAUGGUUGAAGUUUGAUCAUCACAUUAGAUGGAACAACUGUCCCAAACACAGGCAUAAAACUCUUCGAGAAACCAUGCCUCUUCUCAGCAGGAAAUUUGCCGAUGAUAAUGGUACGGCCGCAUUCCAGAGUGGAAAUUUGACCUUUAGAUUAAGACAAAACUCUCCAAGAAGCUGAAAAGUCUUUUCUUCUCUCUUCUCUUUUCAUUGUCUUGUUCAACCUUCAACCAUAGCGAGGGUUUGAGCCAAGUCUCACCCUCUCCUCCAUUUGUUUUGAUUUUCUUCAAGUAUUUGUUCUGUACUUUUCCUCUUUUUCUUUCUCAAUUUAGUUCUAAAUUUAAAAGUUUGAACUCUUCAAAUUUAGUUUUAGACUUAGAAGUUCUUCUCUCCCAAUUUAGAUUCGGGAGUUUCAUAAUUUUUUUGAGGAUUCGAUAUCCACGUGCUCUAUCCGUAUAUAGGUUCUUUGCCUCUAGUUUCAUUGAUAAUUGCAGAAGUUUGGGCGUUUCGCUAAAUUAUGAAGAUUUGCUCUUCCAAAGUUUAAAUUUGUAUUUGUUCAAUCUAUUUUGGUUGUCUCCGUAUGGCAAUGGUGUAGAAGAAGCUGAACCUAGGCGUGCACCUUCAUGUGGCAACGCUGUAAUUAGCAUGUGCUAAUUAAUGACGAUGAUAUGAGAUUUAGUGAUUGAUCGCCAAUUAUUUUAUAUGACAAGUCUAUCCUUUUGGAAUGAGUGUAUGUUUAACCCUGCUGGUGUUUUGUUGAUCCUCCUUAUUUUCUGGAUUUGGCUUUGUUUUGUAAUAUUUUAGCCUUUGCUUUGCUUCGACUUGCUUUAUCAUGAAAGUUUACCAUGGAAAUUUAUGUACUUUUUGUGUAUCCUUUUGAGUCAUGAACAAUUUUUUCGACAAGAAAAAAAGUGGAAAUUUGAUCCAUGAUCUAAUUGCCAAAUCGAAUAACAAACCAAUAUUCUUUGAAUGAGCAAGUCAACCCAGCACCCCAAAUCCAUCACCCUUAUUUGAGAUAUAGCGAUCCAUCAUAUUUAUCGAAAUGUCGUUAUUUUUGUCGUAAUAUUAACACGGAAACAAUAGGGUCUUGCAAAUUAAUUCAAUACGAAAAUAUCAUAAAAGUAAACAAGGAAUAAUAAGGACAUUAGAGAUUAACGUGGUUCGGUUCGAGUAUUGGAAUCUACAUUCACAAAAAGAGCCAAUAACAAAUAAUACACUAAUAAUCAGAGAAUUUAAGUUAUAAUCAUUCAUACGCUCGAGUGUUUUUGACACAUAAAUUUAAACUCAAACCAAAGGUUGCAUUUGACAAUCAGGAUAAGAUUUAGGUUAGGAUAAAUUUAUCUUAUCUUGCAUUAAAUACCUAAAAUCAGAUAUAAGAGUGAUGUAGGUUGAAUAAAACUAUCUCAUGGGAAAGGUAGGACAAAUGUGAAUCAGAUUUUCUAAUAUCCAUAGGAAAAUUAUUUUUCUCAACUAAAAACUCCUUAAAUUAACAAAUUUAUAAUUAUAUUAAAUAUAAAAUAAUAUUUGAAUUCUAAUAUGUAAAAUUCAAAAUAACAAAAAAAAUUAGUUUUUUAAUUUAACCUUACUUUUAUUUAUAUAUUCGAAUUUAAUUGUAUCUUAUAAUAUAAGUAUACCGAUACUUAUAGGUGUUUUAGAUAUUCGAAUUUAAUUGUAUCUUAUAAUAUAAAUUUAAUAUAUGCAUAUAAAUUUAUAUUUAUUACAUAUUUUUAGGUGUUUUAGAAUUUUAAGUAUACCGAUACAAUUUUUUAUUUAAUGAAAUUUUAUCUGAGAACAAUGGAAGGGGAAGAAAGAAAUAAAAAUGAAAUUAAUUAAAAAAGAGAGGAAAAUUAAAUAAAAAUAAAGUAGACAAGAGUGUAGUGAGAGAUUUUUACUAUCUUCAUUUGUAAAAUUGUUAAUCCAUUUAUAUUGAUAUACCAUUUAUACCAAACAAGAUGCAUAAUAUGUUAUGAAUAUCAAGUAGUGGAUAUAAUAUAGUAAAAAUUUUGAAUUUUAAAUUUAAUCAUAUUUAGUUAUAUCUUAAUUAGAAAUUUAAACAACCAAACGUAGCUAAGUUGUUUACAAAUAAACAAUUCGAUUGGAUAUGAAAUUCGUAGUAUAAAUUGCUGAAAAUUCAAGUCCAAACAAAACGCUCCUGCACGAUUCCCUAGAACGUCUGUACGUUCUAUAUUUUGUUCGUGCAGCACCCGUGUGGCUCGUGUCUCAGCGAAAGGAGAAAAUAAAUAAUAAUAUAAGAGAAACCCUGACCAAUUGUCCUUUUGUUGAAAUUACCUUUUUAACCCCUAAAGUAAACAUAUGCGUGACGCCCCUUCUUUUGUCUUGUGGUGCAAAACUUUUCAGACCAAACUUGGAAUCAUAUACGCAUGCGGUCCUGGAUGAUUACGGAAAACCAGCGUUCAAGAAUAAGAAAACAAGUUUGAUUCGAAUAGUGGGGUAUCAAAUUUUGAAUAAAUCGAAAUCUUUUGACAAAUCGGAUUUCAUAAAAAGUUCAAACUCGAGAUAUUAAUUUAAUACUUUUUAUAUUAAAAAAUAAGUCAAUUAUACCACUAGUCCAUAGUAUGGGUGAUGACAACUUGUCAAAUUUGGUGUCCACCUCCUAAAUUACUAUGAAUUUACACUUUCUCAUCAUAAGUGAUCUCGACCUUAUAAAACAAAUUUUUUGUCAUUAUAUAAUAUUUUGAUAUUUAAUUACAUGUACACGAUGUAGACCUAUUAAAAUGGAUUAUAACCACAAUCCUUAACUCAUAUUUGAUAAUAUGAGUUCUCAUAUGAUUUAGUUAUAUUUAGCAAUUUGAUAAUCAAUUGAUUUAGAAUGGCAAAAUCCAAAAUAAUAUCAACGUUAAACGGUUUCCAAUAUAUUUCAACUUGGCUCACUUCACUCUCUCUCCCCCUCAAUCAAUCUCGUGAUCACUUACUUUGCGCGCUCACUCAAGUUUGUAUAUGAAUUUUCUUAAAGUGCGUUAAAUACAGAAAUGUUUUAAUAAUAUAACCCGAGCAUUUGUUAGAUAUGGAUCACUGGACUUAUAUUAUGUGAAAAUAAGUCAAAGCAAGUUAAAUGAGUUAAUUUGAAUUGCACCAUUUUUCAACCUAACUCGACCUACCCAAAAGCAUCACACGAGAGUAGGGAUGAGCAUAUUAGACUACCCGAACUAGGAAUUGCCCGGAUUGAUCAGUUCCUGAGGGCAUCGGUUUAGUUCCCAUUUCCAUAAAAAUGAAACUGAUGAUUCUUGGUCUGGUUCCCGCUUCCAAAGGAAACUAGACUGAUGGAUUGGACCAAUUAUUUACUUUUUCAAUUUUUUUUAAUUUCUAAAAAAUAACAAUAAAUCCUAAAUUUGUAAUAACUCUAGUAUUUAUAUAUAUAAUAUAUAUUGCUAAGUGGUCACUUUCAUGUCCAAUUUUUGGUCCGAGGAUUGUCCAGUUGGAUUCUCAAUCCCAAAAAAUGCGAACCGACCCUCCAGCUUUCGAUUUCUAGGUAAAAUCGAACUGGAUCGGGAACUGACCAACCUACACGAAAGAGAGCCUCAUGCGCGGAGGGCCACGUCCUGCAUCCAAUGAACGUCGGAGCCGUCCCAAAGCCAAACCGGCAACCGCGGAAAGCGCCGUGGGAUUCCUUCCCUAGCCUCGCUGUUCCCCUACCCCUCCAGGAGCGAGAGUUGGUGGGAAAGCCAGAAUUCCGUCCAAAGUUUUCGCCAGUCCCUGGUUUCUCUCCGAGCAAGAAUAAGCAAUUUGAACUCCUUCUCUCCUCGACUCGGCGAGCUGCGCUUGUAUAAAAGCCACCGCCGUGCCCGACCCACUUCCUCACAUCCGCACUAGAACCGGUUCUUGAGGGCGAAGAGAUCAGUGGAAACAGAGUAGUUUCGGAAUUCGGGUGGUAGGAUAUCGCUGAGGUCGAGAUGGCGAGCACCGCUGGUCAGGUCAUUCGCUGCAAGGGUAUGUCUUUUUCUUUUUCUUUUAUGGAGAUGGUCUUCGAUUCUUGACUUGGGUUUGCGUCGGUUUUUGGCUUUCUCGAGUCUUCUUACGUGACGAGUUCUUGGACUUGCGUUACUGGGUUUUUAGAUCGUUUCGUUUUCUUUGAGGACGUAUGCUGUGGCGGCUCGUUUAGCUGGGUGGUGCUGAUCUUGCUGUGGGGAAUGUGAACUAUAUAAGUUCUUUUGCUUAAUUUGCUUUAGUUCGUAACUAUUAUUUUGAUCAUGACCGCGUGGGUAUCUAAUGCCAUCUCCUAGAAAGCAGGGCAAGUUUCCUUUUUGUUCUAUUUCGCGUUCAUAUUUUGAUGACGUUUGGCUGUUUAAAUUUUGCCUGAGUAUUGUCAAAUAGAAUUUGGGCUUUGAAUCCUUUUCCGUAGCUAAAGAUCUGUACUUAUGAGCGUGAAUUCGAUUUGCCUCAUGGUGUGAUUAUGUUGAACAUGCAAUGCAGCUGCGGUGGCAUGGGAAGCUGGAAAGCCGCUUGUGAUGGAAGAAGUGGAGGUGGCUCCUCCGCAGGCGAUGGAGGUUCGUAUCAAGAUCCUCUUCACCUCCCUUUGCCACACUGACGUUUUCUUCUGGGAAGCCAAGGUGACUACAUUUGCAUUUUCUAUAUGGUUUUGGAUAUAUGUUGGCUAAAUCGACUGAUCAUUAUGUAUCGUGAUGAUUAAUGGGACUUACAAAAUUGAAUUGCAGGGACAAACCCCGUUGUUUCCUCGCAUCUUUGGUCAUGAAGCAUCAGGGUAUGGACCUUUACGUGAAAGCGUUCAUCUCCUUUUAUUGGUUGAACUUACAUUUAGGUCAAUUGCCAAUAUUGGUAAUAUUUAUCGACUGUCUUGUAAAAUCAUGUUCCCUUCUUCCAUUUUGCAAUUUAGGAUUGUCGAAAGUGUCGGUGAGGGUGUCACUGAACUUGAACCCGGUGAUCAUGUCCUUCCUGUAUUCACCGGAGAAUGCAAGGAGUGCCGGCAUUGUAAAUCAGUGGAGAGCAAUAUGUGUGACCUGCUCAGGAUAAACACGGAUCGAGGGGUUAUGCUUAAUGAUAAUGCGUCGAGGUUCUCCAUCAAUGGGAAGCCCAUUUACCAUUUUGUUGGCACUUCGACUUUUAGUGAGUACACCGUGGUUCAUGUCGGUUGUGUCGCCAAGAUCAACCCUGCAGCCCCGCUGGACAAAGUCUGUGUUCUCAGCUGCGGCAUCUCUACAGGUCAGUCAAAUGUUUCAUAAACUAUGUUGUUGUACUCUAGAUUUCCCAUUGGCUUACGUCAGCAUUAACUGAUGUCUUGUUUUCCUUAUUGGAAGGUCUUGGUGCCACCUUGAAUGUCGCGAAGCCGAAGAAGGGGCAAUCGGUAGCCAUUUUUGGACUCGGAGCUGUGGGCCUUGCUGUGAGUUUCAUUUCUUUUCCUGUCUUUCACAACAAAAUCAGAUGAAUUUGUUCAAGUGCAGUUGCAAAUGAAGACUUAAAUUGUUCAUCAGGCAGCUGAAGGGGCUCGAAUGGCAGGGGCUUCAAGGAUUAUUGGAGUGGAUCUGAAUCCAAACAGAUUCGCCGAAGGUAAUUGAUUUAAAUCUCAUUGUAUGUUUGAUACAUCAACGAGCUCAUAUGCAUCUAAGCAUCCCCAUUGGAGUCAGCUAAAAAUUAGCAUCUUGAUUUGAUCUUUAGAAAAAAGAGCAUGUUGUAGUCUGCCCAUGUGAUUGCACUCUGAAGACCCUCUUUUUGUUUUUUGUGAGCAGCCAAGAAAUUUGGAGUCACUGAGUUUGUGAAUCCCAAGGACCACAACAAACCUGUUCAAGAGGUUUGAUACCAUCCUCGCUUGAUGACAUUUUCCUGUGAUCUGAUACUGUAUAAUACCUUGUCCUUUCAAACUGAAAUCCGUUAACUUCAACUCAGGUGAUUGCUGAAAUGACUGACGGGGGUGUUGAUCGAAGCCUUGAGUGCACUGGAAAUAUCAACGCCAUGAUCUCUGCAUUUGAAUGUGUUCAUGAUGUAAGUACUUUUAAAGACUUCACUCCUAGAAAGUUGCUAGAUCAAUGAAAUGCUCUGUCAAUCUGUUUUUCUCGUCAUUAACGGGUUGAAAAUUGAAUCUGCAGGGAUGGGGGGUUGCUGUUCUUGUCGGCGUCCCUAGCAAAGAUGAUGCAUUCAAGACCCAUCCGAUGAAUCUCUUGAACGAGAGAACUCUCAAGGGCACUUUCUUUGGCAACUACAAGCCAAGGACUGACCUUCCCUCUGUUGUGGAGAAGUACAUGAAUAAGGUAUAACACUGGGUCGUCAUGUUUCUUCCGAGCACAAAUGCCUGUGCUUUCCUAUAUUUCAAAAUGAAUCCACAUCUCUUAGGCCACAUUUCUAGUAGCGCUUGGCCUCCACCGGUGCACAUAAUGUCAUUUAUGCAUAAAUUUCACCUUACCAGUUCAUUUCAGUUGAGCGCUUCUUGACCUACAAAGCUUCACAUAUAUUCUAUGCAAUCAUUCUCUUUUUCUCUUACUUGUGCCGAAUCUAUCUACUUGUAAGGAAGUUUUGACCGAAGUGGUGUUCAUAUAUGAGCAGGAACUUGAUGUGGAGAAGUUCAUUACGCAUGAGGUUCCUUUCUCGGAGAUCAAUAAGGCAUUCGACUACAUGCUUCAAGGCGCUAGCCUUCGCUGUAUUAUCCGCAUGGGUGCCUAGAAUCGCUGACACUGCAGACCAUUUUGCUUCAGGAGGAAGACAAACUUUGCCGAGCUUUUGAAGUUAUUGCUGCGCCGUUGUUAUAUGCCCGUGUCUUGAGGCGUAAGAGUGAUGAAUAAAUGACCCCUUUGCUGCUGUAAAUGGUUUGUUAGCAAUUAAUGGAUGUUCAUGUUCGAAUUCUCGUGAUAAUGUCAACUUUAUUUGUAAGAUGAUGAGAUGAAAUCUUGCAUUAUCAGCUGCUUUGCUUCAUAAAAGAACGAGAGCGAAAAGAAACCACAAAUCCAAUACGUGCAAACUGUAGUAGAUAAUGAGCUUUGUUUUGAGCUGGACCGGACAACCGGCCGUCCCAGUCAUGGCCCGAUCUUGUGUAGAGGUGAUAAGUUUCUGACAGGAUUACGUGAUAACAUGACUCAAACGAAACCGGGAUUUACUUACAGGAACUCAUAUGAGAUCAACUUCACACACGCGAACUCGUGUUCUCGCAAGUGUCGCCAUGUUAUCCUAGCGCAGAAUCUUCUCCACACUACUAGAGGACCUCACAAUGACAGCAAGUGUACUUCAUUAUCUUCCUUUCGACUUGGCAACAAGUUGACCAAAUGUGCCUGUCUGAUCUCUAGCUGGACCUGACUUGGACCUAUGUGAGGCUCAUUGUCUCUGAUCUUGGACACCAACGGUAGGUCAGAGCCGCUGCUCUAUUUUUCUAGAUUCUGUCUCCAUUCGAUUCGAGCCUCUCUUCAUUGAACUUUACGAAGCAAGACAAUUCAGAAACGACACAAUUUGCACCGAGCGGUGUGAGAGCCGUUCUUUCAAUUGUGACCCGUGAACAGAUUCUUGGCAUCUAUCCAAGAGCCAAACCAGCAUGGUCUGGUCUAUGCCCCCAGCUUGCCACGACAAGUCCUUGCAAUGAACACAGAACAUGGCACCAAGAUGCACAUUCAUAGCUAUGCAUUUUCUUGUCUCAAGAUUAUGUUCGAUAUCCGAAUUCCACUUCAUUUUGAACAAAAGGGCGGUGCUCAAGCUCGGCACGAGUUUGAUUGUUCAUGCAACCGAGUGCAAACGAUUCUAUAUUCAGGCAGCUUGCCCCGGGUUUCAGCUCGCAUCUCACCUGAUUCACAAGGUAAGUGAGGCUUUCGUCCGUCAUUGAGUAUGCCUAAUUCAAAGUAGGUUUGCUGAGACGGGUUUCUUCACAUGAGACUGGCACAUGAUUAGACUAAUAAAAUACAUACCUACAUCAGAUGGAGGGACCGCACGAUCAUGGCGGAACCGAAGAAGCACAGGGACCAAAACUGAAAAUUCGAGAAAGUACACUUCCCAAAGUGUAAUUCCUAAGUUUGUCACUCGAGUAUAAAAUGCAUUUCAAACCCAAGCAUGUCAAACCCAAGUCAAAGCCAACGUGCACCUCUCUCUCUCUCUAGAAGAUGGGUCUGCAAAUCUCCGCCUCCUCCUUCUUCCUCAUCAUCCUCACCGUCGCCGCCGCCGCCGCCGUCGCCCCUCCGGCGAAGCCCCACGCCGCGCUGAUCCCGAAGGUGUGCAGGGCCACCAAGUACUACGGCCUCUGCCUCUCCACCCUCAAGUCCGACCCCUCCAUCUCCCGCGCCGACCCCAAGGGCCUCGCCUCCAUUGCCCUCGCCGCCGCCCUCGCCAACGCCACCUCCGCCUCCUCCUUCCUCUCCUCUCUCGCCCUCGGCUCCUCCUCCGGCGGCGCCGCCGGCGACCCCGCCCUGUCCCGGCUCCUCCUGGACUGUGCCGACAAGUACGGCCUCGCCGGCGACGCGCUCCGGGCGUCGGCGCUUGACGUGGCGGCGGAGGCCUACGACUACGCCUACGUGCACGCGAUGGCGGCGGAGGACUACCCGAGCGCGUGCCGCGACGCGUUCCGGAGGUCGCCGGCGGGGACGGCCUACCCGCCGGAGCUCGCGCGGCGGGAGGACGGGCUCAAGCGCAUCUGCGACGUCGUGCUGGGGAUCAUUGAAUUUCUCGGCUCGUGACGAAAAGAAUUUAUUUUUUUCUUCCAUUUUGCUAAUCUAGUUAAUGUCAAUUUCAGAUUUAUUUUUAUCAAAAUAUUUCACGUCGCUCCAUUAAUUAUUAAAAUUUUCACAUAAUUAAGGGGCGAAAUUCCUAUGCAAAUCCCGUGAUUGUUGGCUUAUUAGUAUGCAAAGUUCAUCACCUCGUUGGUUCCAAAAUUGUUGACUUUAGCUAUUACGAAUCUUUGGAUUUUGUUUGACGGUUGCUCAUAAUUUCUUUGUAUGACCAACAUAUUAUUUUAUAAGUGACAAUUUAUAAAGAGAAUGACAAGAUCAAAAUGUGUUUGUUGGAGGGAGAAAUGCAAUCGUAGAAAAAAAGCUACUGUAGAACAUAAUUUAUUGAAAAGAGUGAAGAGGUUAGACUAGAGAGAGCCUUCAGUCAUCGGGGAGUGAUAACUCCAUAUUGACAUUAUUCAUAUUUAUAUUUAGUUAAAUUUGUGUGUAAGUGAUGUGCAUAAUUUAUACUCGCUGAUAAGAAAAAUGAUAAUAUAUAAUAUGCAAGUAACAAUUUAGCAGGAGGGGUGCCUAGGUUGAGCAAUUUUUAGGUAGGUAGAUUUCAUACUUGGAAUCUGAAAUGUCAAUGCCAUGAUCUCUGCAUUCGAAUGUGUUCGGGAUGUAAGUACUUGCAGACAAAGCUGCUAGAUCAAUGAAAUGCUCUGUCGAUCUGUUUCUCUCAUCAUUAACGGGUUGGGAAUUGAUCUGCAGGGAUGGGGGGUUGCUGUUCUUGUCGGCGUCCCUAACAAAGAUGAUGCAUUCAAGACCCAUCCCGUGAAUCUCUUGAACGAGAGGACUCUCAAGGGCACUUUCUUUGGCAACUUCAAGCCAAGGACUGACCUUCCCUCUGUUGUAGAGAAGUACAUGAACAAGGUAUAACCCCAACUCAUGAUACUUCUUCACGGCACAUGCACAUACCCUGUCAUCCAUGCAUAAAUUGCCAUCUUGCCGGGUUCCAAAGCUUUGCAUACAAUUUACGCAUUUGGUCUCUUUUUCUCUUACUCGUCUGAUCAUGUACGGAGUUUUUGACUGAAGUGAUGCUCGUAUACGAACAGGAACUUGAGCUGGAGAAGUUCAUUACGCACGAGGUUCCUUUCUCGGAGAUCAACAAGGCCUUCAACUACAUGCUUCAAGGCGCCGGCCUACGCCGCAUAAUCCGCAUGGGCGAGUAGAAUCACUGAGGGUAUAGAGCAUGGUCGGGCGAACUUUUCUUGCAUUUGAGGUUAUUGCUGCAUCGUUGUUAUAUGCCUGUGUUGUGAAGCAGGAGAGUGAUUUCAUAAAUGACUUUUUGCUGCUGUAUAUGCUUUUAUUAGUAACUGGUGAAUGGAUUAUUCCGUGUUCUCGCUAUGAUUAUUUUCAUCAGAAACAUAUGGAGAUCCAUAUGGUUGUUUGUCACAGUAUAUCGUCUGCAUGAUGGGACGAUGUAUGUUCAUUUUUGGAGCAGGAAUUUCCAUCCUACUUAUCUAUAAAAUUAUGAAAUGAACUGAUAUGUGCAAACUUUAACAGAGGGGAAAGUAAUGAGCUCGAUUCUGAGCCGAGCCGGUUUGAAACGUCGAACGGGGCGCCUGUUGAGGUGAUGGUUUCUAACAGAGCUACGCGAUGACAUGAUUCUAAUAAAACAAGAAUUUACUAAUGGGAUUAGCAUCACACUUCGAAUUCGUGUUCCUCCCAGAUCUCCCUAGAACAUUCGAGUGUAGAAUUUCUUCUCCACUGCUGGGGGACUCGAAUUUCUUCCUUUCAACUUGGCAACAAGUCGACGAAAUGUGCUCGUCUGAUCUCUCUGCCGAGGCUUGAGUUUGGACCCAUGGGAAUCGUCUCUGAUCUUGGAUAAGAGCGCAGAGCAGCUGCUCUGUCUUUUUGGACUCUGUCUCCCUUCAAUUUGAGUCCCUUCAUUAAUUUUAAGAAUAAGUAUAAAAGAACUAACAUUCGUUAUGAAAGCACAAUGGAGUUUCGAAAGUGUAAUUACUAGUGCAAUCGAGUCCUUCAAGUAGUUCUAUAACUUCUAUCCAACUUGACAAACGGAAAAUGUUAACAAGUUAUAGGAUUUGAUUGUACUUGUUAAAAUUAUUACACAAUUGUAUUUUUACGACAAGAUUUGGAACUUUCAAUAUAUUUAUUUCUAAAAGAACAAGUGGGUCAACCCAACACCCCAAGUCCACUACCCUCAUUUAUGGAAAAUGUAUACAUAAAAGAACACUUUAUCAAGGUAAUCAUACUACUUGUCCAUACUAGAGGUAACAACAACUCAUCAAAUUUGGUGUCCGCCUCCUAAAUUACUAUGUAUGAACUUACACUUUUUCACCAUAAAUUAUCGCGACCUUGUAAGUAAAUUUUUAUCAUAAUAUAAUAUUUUGAUAUUUAAGAUGUGUUUGUUUUAGUGAAAGUAUUUCCUGAGAAUUAGUUUUUUGGACUUUCACUUGCUUGGUUCGUCGAAAACGACUAGUCAGCUAAAAACAUUUUCCAAUCAGCGAAAACAUCCAUGUGUAAAAUUAGGAAAGUGGAAUUUCUAAAUUUAAAGAGAUAAAAACACUUAUAAAAAAAUUGCUACUCUCGAAUUUUUUAUUAUUUUAUUUUAUUUUCUUCUCUUUUUUUCUUUUCUUACUUUUAUUUUUUCCAUCUUCCUUUGCUAGUUAUCGGGCCUUGGCAAUGGUUAGCAACUGGCCACAAAUGUGGGCUAGCCAGCUCAAGAUUGGGGAGGCUCAAGCUCAUUAGAUCCCAUUGAACUUGAGCUAUUGUGAGGUUGUCAAUGCCCAGCGGCUGAUGGUGAAAGAGGUUAAAAGAAAAAAAGAAAAAAGGAAAAUAAACAAACUAAAAAAUUUGAAAAUUUAUGGCCUGAGAUGAAGUCAUGAGAUUGAAAUCAUAUUCAACAUGAAAUCCAAACACCAAAAAACGUUUUUGAUCACAUAUCACCAAACAAAGAAAAACUAACAAUUUUCUUAAAAAAUAACUUUCCAAAAAACAUUUUUCUUUAUCUUGAAAAUUUUCCCCACCCUAGUUACUUUUGUAAGGCAUAAAUCUAUUAAAAUAGGUCGUAAACCUAUAAUUAAUGGACUUAGUUGUUAUAUGAGUUAGUUAUAUUCAAUAAAUUGAUUAUAUGUUGGUUUAGAAUAAUUAAGCGUGAAAUGAUGUGGGUGUCAAACAAGUACUCAAUCCACCUCUCUCUUCGUUCUCUCUCACCCUAAAUCAAUUUCACGGUCACUCACUUCGCACUCUCACUUGAGUUUGUGUAUGAAUUUGCCUAACUCGAAUUAAAUACAACAUGAGCCGGAUAUUUGUCAUUAUGCAUCGGGUUGGGCAUAAGUCAAGAUUUAUAUAUAUAUAUAUAUAUAUAUAUAUAUAUAUAUAUAGAUUAAACAAGCCAAUUUAGAUUUGAUCAUUUUUCAACCUGACCCUGCCGACCUGACCCUGCCGACCGUGAAAAGUUGCAGGGUAAUAAUGGAGCUCGCCUGGUGCGUGGAGGGCCACGACCGACAUCCAAUGAACGUUAAAGUCGUUCCAGAUCAAACCAGCAAUCUCGGAAGCGACGUGGAUUCCCACUCUCGCUUUUCCUACCGUCCCUCCAAGAGCUAGAGUUCGGAAAUCAGCACGAGCAAUUUGAACUUCUUCUCUCAUCGCUUCGGCGAGUAUCGCUUGUAUAAAUGCCACCGCCGAGCCCGACCCACUACCUCGCAUCUGCAGAAGAACCGUUUCUUGAAGAAGACAAAGAUCAGAGAAGACAAGCAGUUUCAGAAUUCGCGUGGUAGGAUAUCGCUGAGGUCGAGAUGGCGAGCACCGCUGGUCAGGUCAUUCGCUGCAAAGGUACGUUUUUUUAUGGUGAUCGUCUUCGAUUCUUGACUUGGGUUUGCGUCGGUUUUUCUUUCUCGAGUCUUCUUGCGUGACAAGUUCUUGACUUGCAUUGCUGGGUUUGUAGUAGCUCGUUUUGCUGAGGGGGUGAUCUUGCUGUGGGGAAUGUGAACUAUAAAAGCUCCUUUGCUUAAUUUGCUUUAGUACAUAUCUAUCAUUUUGAUCAUGACCACGUAGCUAUCUAAUGCUGUCUCCUAGAAAACAGGGGCAAGUUUCCUUUUUGUUCUAUUUCGCGUUCAUAUUUCGAUGACUGUCUGACUGUUUAAAUUUUGCUUGAGUAUUGUCAAAUAAAAUUUGGGUUUUAAACUCUUUUCCAUAGUUAAAGAUCUGUACUUUUUAAGCGUGGAUUCGACUUGCCUCUCAUGGUGUGAUUGUGCUGUACAUGCGAUGCAGCUGCGGUGGCGUGGGAAGCUGGAAAGCCACUUGUGAUGGAAGAGGUGGAGGUGGCUCCUCCGCAGGCGAUGGAGGUUCGUAUCAAGAUCCUCUUCACCUCACUUUGCCACACCGAUGUUUUCUUCUGGGAAGCCAAGGUGACUACAUUUGCAUUUUCUAUAUGGUUUUGGAAUAUGUUGGCUAAAUCGACUGAUCAUUAUGUAGCGUGAUGAUUAAUGGGACUUAUAAAACUGAAUUGCAGGGACAAACCCCGUUGUUUCCUCGCAUCUUUGGUCAUGAAGCAUCAGGGUAUGGACCUUUUCGUGAAAGCGUUCAUCUCCUUUUAUUGGCUGAACUUACAUUUAGGUCAAUUGCCAAUAUUGGGAAUAUUUAUCGACCGUCUUGUGAAAUCAUGUUCCCUUCUUCCAUUUUGCAAUUUAGGGUUGUGGAAAGUGUUGGUGAAGGUGUCACAGAACUUGAACCCGGUGAUCAUGUCCUUCCUGUAUUCACCGGAGAAUGCAAGGAGUGCCAGCAUUGUAAAUCCGAGGAGAGCAAUAUGUGUGGCCUGCUCAGGAUAAACACGGAUCGAGGGGUUAUGCUUAAUGAUAAUGAAUCGAGGUUCUCCAUCAAUGGGAAGCCCAUUUACCAUUUUGUUGGCACUUCGACUUUCAGUGAGUACACUGUGGUUCAUGUCGGUUGUGUUGCCAAGAUCAACCCUGCAGCCCCAAUGGACAAAGUCUGUGUUCUCAGCUGUGGUAUCUCUACAGGUCAGUCAUAUGCUUCAUAAAAUAUGUUGUUGUACUCUAGAUUUUUCAUUGGCUUAUGUCAGCAUUAACUGAUGUCCUGUUUUCCUUAUUGGAAGGUCUCGGUGCCACCUUGAAUGUCGCGAAGCCAAAGAAGGGGCAAUCAGUAGCCAUUUUUGGACUCGGAACUGUGGGCCUUGCUGUGAGUUUCAUUUCUUUUCCUGUCUUUCACGCAAAAAUUGGAUGAAUUUGAUCAAGUGCAGUUGCAAAUGAAGACUUAAAUUGUUCAUCAGGCAGCCGAAGGGGCUCGAAUGGCUGGGGCUUCGAGGAUUAUUGGAGUGGAUCGGAAUCCAAACAGAUUCGUCGAAGGUAAUUGAUUUAAAUCUCAUUGCAUGUUUGAUACAUAAAAGAGCUCAUAUGCAUCUAAGCAGCCCCAUUGGAGUCAGCUAAAAAUUAGCAUCUUGAUUUGAUCUUCAGAAAAAAGAGCAUGUUGUAGUCUGCCUAUGUGAUUGCACUAUGAAGGCCCUCUCUUUUUUAUCUGAGCAGCCAAGAAAUUUGGAGUCAAUGAGUUUGUGAAUCCCAAGGACCACAACAAACCUGUUCAAGAGGUUUGAUUCCAUCCUCACUUGAUGACACUUUCCUGCGAUCUGAUACUGUAUAAUACCUUGUCCUUUCAAACUGAUUACGUUAACUUCGACUCAGGUGAUCGCUGAAAUGACUGAUGGGGGUGUUGAUCGAAGCCUUGAGUGCACUGGAAAUAUUGACGCCAUGAUCUCUGCAUUUGAAUGUGUUCAUGAUGUAAGUACUUACAGACUUUACUCCUAGAAAGUUGCUGGAUUAAUGAAAUGCUCUGUUGAUCUGUUUCUCUCAUCAUUAACGGGUUGGAAAUCGAAUCUGCAGGGAUGGGGGAUUGCUGUUCUUGUUGGCGUCCCUAGCAAAGAUGAUGUAUUCAAGACCCAUCCAAUGAAUCUCUUGAACGAGAGAACUCUCAAGGGCACUUUCUUUGGCAACUACAAGCCAAGGACUGACCUUCCCUCUGUUGUAGAAAAGUACAUGAAUAAGGUAUGACAGUGGGUCGUCAUAUUUCUUCCAAAUGCCUGUGCUUUCCUAUAUUUCAAAAUGAAUCCCCAUCUCUUAGGCCACAUUUCUAAUAGCGCUUGGCCUCCACCUGUGCAUAUAAUGUCAUUUAUGCGUAAAUUUCACCUUACCAGUUAUUUUCAGUUGACCGUUUCUUGACCUACAAAGCUUCACAUAUAUUCUAUGCAAUCGGUCUCUUUUUCUCUUACUUGUGCCGAAUUUACCUACUUGUAAGUGUUCAUAUAUGAGCAGG